rnacentral:lncRNA from 1 species
CAGAUUCAGAAUAUAGUACACUAGCAGAUAUUUUCUUUGAUACAAAAUUAAGGAUCCAAGAAAUAACAAUAUUAUUGUUACGGAUCCAGGAAUUAAGUAGCUCAGUGUUACCUUUAGGCCAAGCGAUUGAUCCAUCCACAAAAUCGAACUUAUUCUUCAAUGAUAAUGCUAUGGUCAUGGCUCGAUUCCAGGCAGCAUAAUUCUCGCUUGUUAGUUGC